GGACAUGUGGUCUAAUGGGUAAGACGCUCUUGCCAUAUAAGAUGACGAUCGAAGGGGCGUGCAGGCACGCAUGUACGUCCGCUUGGCGACAGAGAUGCGAGUUCGAGUCUCGCCGUGUCCA
rfam:Stagonospora sp. SRC1lsM3a unplaced genomic scaffold IQ06scaffold_14, whole genome shotgun sequence.